rnacentral:rRNA from 1 species
AAGCACCCCGGAAGGGGAGUGAAAUAGUUCCUGAAACCAUGUGCCUACAAGCUGUCGGAGCCCGUUAAUGGGUGACGGCGUGCCUCUUGCAGAAUGAACCGGCGAGUUACGAUUACAUGCAAGGUUAAGGUGGAAAAACCGGAGCCGUAGCGAAAGCGAGUCUUAAAUGGGCGUAAAAAGUAUGUAGUUGUAGACCCGAAACCAGGUGACCUACCCAUGUCCAGGUUGA